rnacentral:lncRNA from 1 species
CUGCUGUCUAGCUGGGGCUCCGUUACUUCUAUUCUUCAGGUUUGGUGCCUUUUUAUGCCAUUGCAUAUGGAAUUGUUUAACAAUUUCAUUUUUAAAUUGUUCAUAGAAAUAUAGGAAGAUAAUUGAAUUUUGUACUUGAUCAGAUAUCCUGCAACCUGACUAGAUUCACUGAAUCAUUUUCAGUAGUUUGUUUUGUAGAUUACAUAGGGUUUUCUCAACACAUAAUCAUGCUUGCAAAUAAUGGCUUUCUUCCUCUCUUUUUCCUCUCCCUCCCCCAUCUUUCUUUCUGAUUUUUAUGCCCUCUGUUUCCUUUUCUUGCCUUAUUGCAUUGGCUGGGACCCCCAGUACAGUAUGGAACAGAAGUGUCAAAAGUGGCCCUAAGUAUGGGUCACUUUUAGUUUAGUUUUAGUUGUUAGUUUUCUAUAAAUGUAUUUAAUCAGGUUGUGGAAGGUCCCCAUUAUUUCUGGUUUGCUAAGAAUUUUGUCAUAAGUACCUACUGAAUCUUUUUUUCCUGCUACUGUAGUCUUGGGGUUUUCUUUGUGGGAAGGUUUUUAUGUACAACUUUAAUUUCUUUAAUAGGGAUAGGGUUAUUUGCAGCUUCCCCCUUAUUUCCAGUAUUUCAAGAACAGGCAAUUUUAAUGUUACAUUGUGACAAUCAAGACAAACCCUGGUUUCUAAUAGAGAUAUGGCAGAUUUCUGGUUGGGGACAGCCAACGUGCACAAGGGUCCCAGAACGUUUCAUUGUGCCUGAAAGUGAGGGGGCUCUCCAGGACGAAUGGGGCCUGUCGAGAAGACAAGGAGCCAGUUUGAAAGAGGUGGCAUUGGUGAAAUCUGGGACAACCUGAGCAUCCAAAAGAAUGAGGCCCAUAGUUAACUAGGAUACAUCUAAUCCAUUUACAUCCAUGAAUCCACAAUGACACUCUAAGAAAAGAGAAAGCCUGAAAAACUCAGGCAGAUCUUAAACCAACUCUUUAUUUUGAAUAUUGGCAGCCAGAGGGAAAAAUCAAACAUUAUCUUGUUUUGUGCUAGAAAGAGGAUGCCAGUAUAACCAAAUGGCACUAGGUAUGAGGAAAGACCUCCUUUAAAAAGGAAUGUUGGGCCGGGCAUGGUGUCUCAUGCCUAUAAUCCUAGCACUUUGGAUUACAGUGUUAGGGAGGCCGAGGUGGGUGGAUCAGCUGAGGUCAGGGGUUCGAGACCAGACUGGCCAACAUGGCGAAACCCCAUCUCUACUAAAAAUACAAACUUUAGAUGGGUGUGGUGGCACACGCCUGUAAUCCCAGCUACUUGGGAGGCUGAGGCAGGAGAAUUGCUUGAACUCAGAAGGCAGAGGUUGCAGUGAGCCGAGAUCGCACCAUUGCACUCCAGCCUGGGUGACAGAAUGAGACUCUGUCUCAAAAAAACAACAACAAAAAGGAAUGUCGGCCCAUAAAUGUGAAUGAGUGACUGAGUUAGAAAAAUCAUCUUUUCCAAACACCACUGAAAUCAUGGACUAGGACAAGGUUAGCCCAUGAGUGUUUAGACCAGUGAGGUGAGCAGCUGCUGGGGACAGGACCCUUGUCUGGUAUCGAUGGCAGGGAAGGCUGUGAGCCUCCCCUCGUGUGGGCAUCAGCCUCAGCCUCCCAGUGGGGGUCACCCAGGGAGCAUAUCUCCUGGUGAGAAGUACAGGAGCUUCACAUUCCCUGGAUACGUCCCAGCCGAAAUGUUCACCGUGAAUCCGGCAACCUGUGGAGCUGAUUUCCAUUUCUAAGGAAUGAGGGGGGAUGGGGAAGAACCCCCCAGGACAGCACCAACAGUCCCUGCGGGGACCUUUCCCGGACACCCGGCCUUCUCGGCGGUGAGGCAGGUGGCGGCACCGACAGGCCCGGGGGGGACCUUUCCCGGACACCCAGCCUCCUCGGUGGCGAGGCAGGUGGCGGCACCGACAGGCCCGGCGGGGACCUUUCCCGGACACCUGGCCUCCUUGGCAAGGCAGGUGGCGGCACCAACAGGCCCGGGGGGGACCUUUCCCGGACACCUGGCCUCCUCGGCGAGGCAGGUGGCAGAACUGGUUCCACGUCUGAUCUUCCUUAGACAAACCUGCCUUCAGAGGAAAUUGUGUUCAACUGGAGAAACUGGAAAAUGUACUAGAUAUUGGCUGAUAUGAAGGAUAUAUGUUUUGUUAAGUAUGAUAAUUCGAUUUUGGCUCUGUAGGGAAAGGCUCUUAUUUUAAAAAGAUGUGCACUAGAGAAAAAGGAAACAGCAUGUAGCAAAUACAUCCACGGAUGUCCUCCUGGUUUAAUUGGUUCUGUGGCCUCGGUUUCUGUCUUCCUGAUGGCACCUCUGUGACAGGAGCUCAGACCCCGGCAUCAGACCGGCCUCCGCAGGGAGGAGCUGCGGUGCCCAGGCCAGGCCAGGAAGCACCAUGGCCCACUGCCUGGGCCUCACCUCACGAACGCCAAGCACUGUGGCGGG